UACGAGGGGGGCAAGCGUUGUUCGGAAUUAUUGGGCGUAAAGAGCUCGUAGGCGGUCUGUCGCGUCGGCUGUGAAAACUCGGGGCUCAACCCCGAGCCUGCAGUCGAUACGGGCAGACUAGAGUGCUGUAGGGGAGACUGGAAUUCCUGGUGUAGCGGUGAAAUGCGCAGAUAUCAGGAGGAACACCGGUGGCGAAGGCGGUUCUCUGGGCAUGUCCUGACGCUGAGGAGCGAAAGUGUGGGGAGCGAACAGG
rnacentral:rRNA from 1 species